rnacentral:rRNA from 1 species
GAUGAACGCUGGCGGCGUGCCUAAUACAUGCAAGUCGAGCGAGCAGACGAGGAGCUUGCUCCUCUGACGUUAGCGGCGGACGGGUGAGUAACACGUGGAUAACCUACCUAUAAGACUGGGAUAACUUCGGGAAACCGGAGCUAAUACCGGAUAAUAUAUUGAACCGCAUGGUUCAAUAGUGAAAGACGGUUUUGCUGUCACUUAUAGAUGGAUCCGCGCCGCAUUAGCUAGUUGGUAAGGUAACGGCUUACCAAGGCAACGAUGCGUAGCCGACCUGAGAGGGUGAUCGGCCACACUGGAACUGAGACACGGUCCAGACUCCUAAGGGAGGCAGCAGUAGGGAAUCUUCCGCAAAGGGCGAAAGCCUGACGGAGCAACGCCGCGUGAGUGAUGAAGGUCUUCGGAUCGUAAAACUCUGUUAUUAGGGAAGAACAAAUGUGUAAGUAACUAUGCACGUCUUGACGGUACCUAAUCAGAAAGCCACGGCUAACUACGUG